UAGAAAAUAUACAUAAUCCGCACAUAUAUCGGCACAUUGUUCAGGGUGUCUUAAAAACUCAGUUUUUAGGAUUGGAUAAUGGGAUAUAUGGAGGCUUAAC
rnacentral:sRNA from 12 species